rnacentral:rRNA from 1 species
AGAGUUGAUCAUGGCUCAGGAUGAACGCUAGCGACAGGCUUAACACAUGCAAGUCGAGGGGCAGCAUAGAAGUAGCAAUACUUGGUGGCGACCGGCGCACGGGUGAGUAACGCGUAUGCAACCUACCUAUCGAGGAGGGGGAUAACCCGGCGAAAGUCGGACUAAUACCGCAUAAAACAGGGGCACCGCAUGGUGAUAUUUGUUAAAGAUUAAUUGCUGAUAGAUGGGCAUGCGUUCCAUUAGGUAGUUGGUGAGGUAACGGCUCACCAAGCCGACGAUGGAUAGGGGAACUGAGAGGUUGGUCCCCCACACUGGUACUGAGACACGGACCAGACUCCUACGGGAGGCAGCAGUGAGGAAUAUUGGUCAAUGGGCGAGAGCCUGAACCAGCCAAGUCGCGUGAAGGAAGAAGGAUCUAUGGUUCGUAAACUUCUUUUGCGAGGGGAAUAAAGUGGAGGACGUGUCCUCUUUUGUAUGUACCCUGAGAAUAAGGAUCGGCUAACUCCGUGCCAGCCGCCGC